AGAACGAACGCUGGCGGCAUGCCUAACACAUGCAAGUCGAACGAGACCCCCGUCUUCGGAUGGCGGGUCUAGUGGCGCACGGGUGCGUAACGCGUGGGAAUCUGCCCUUAGGUUCGGAAUAACAGUUAGAAAUGACUGCUAAUACCGGAUAAUGACGUAAGUCCAAAGAUUUAUCGCCUAGGGAUGAGCCCGCGUAAGAUUAGCUAGUUGGUGGGGUAAAGGCCUACCAAGGCAACGAUCUUUAGCUGGUCUGAGAGGAUGAUCAGCCACACUGGGACUGAGACACGGCCCAGACUCCUACGGGAGGCAGCAGUGGGGAAUAUUGGACAAUGGGCGAAAGCCUGAUCCAGCAGUGCCGCGUGAGUGAUGAAGGCCUUAGGGUUGUAAAGCUCUUUUACCCGGGAUGAUAAUGACAGUACCGGGAGAAUAAGCUCCGGCUAACUCCGUGCCAGCAGCCGC
rnacentral:rRNA from 1 species